rnacentral:misc_RNA from 1 species
CGUCUGUGGGAUUUGAAUCGCUCAACUACGUUCCGAUAUGAGCUCAUAUUUGACCUUGGAGAAGUAUAUGCUAUAGCAAGUUUGAAGGGUACAAGGAUUGUGAUUGGACACGAAAUAGGAUUAGCACUGGUAGACAUAGACCUAGAGGGCAAGAAGGAUGGAUAUGUGAAGAGCAAUGUCGCAAUUAUGGAUUCAAAAAAUGACACAGAUCAAAAUAUGAAAGAGUUAAGCCCAACAGCUUCCUCAAGUGAGGUGCAAAAGGUGUCAAGCAUUAUAGCAUUGGAGACUCUAUACAAAAUGAAGUCAUCAGAAUCGUCUAUAGAUGUCCAUCCAACAGAGACAUGGAUGGUCAUUACAUCCGACAAAUAUGUUCAUAUAUGGGACUACCAUACAAGGGAAGUGAAACAGAUGAUGGAUACUAAGGGAGCGAAAGUCAGAUUGGCUAAAUUUAUAGCCCGCAAGCAAUGGGUUAUUGCGGGUGCUACUAGUGGAUUCAUCUUCGUCUAUGAUUAUGAC